AUAUGGAGGUUCCCAGGCUAGGGGUCCAAUUGGAGCUGUAGCUGCUGGCCUACACCACAGCCACAGCAACCCAGGAUCCAAGCCACAUCUGCAAACUACACCACAGCUCACGGCAACACUGGACCCUUAACCCACUGAGCGAGGCCAGGGAUCGAACCUGUGUCCUCAUGGAUGCUAGUCAGAUUUGUUAACCACUGAGCCACGAUGGGAACCCCUGGCCCUACUCUCUAGUCAUAUCUACGACUAAGAGGUGAGUGGGGGUGGGUGACAUCUUCAAAGAGGUCUAUGGCUCCAAAUAGGACAAGACCCACUUUCUUGCUGAGUGAUGCUCUCAGUUCAGGCUUGAGUGGUUGAAGAGCUGGGCACAGUGGUCACCAUGUGCCCUCCCCUGGUGCCAAGACAACGAAUGUGGCUCCUUGGGCAUCUCUGGCUUAGCCCCAUGGACCCAGGGGACACCCGAGGGACCUCAGGGGGCUGCUGCAACAUCUCACCCUUCCCAGGCUCAAGCUUUGGGAAUCAGGGAUGAGGAGGACUGAGGGCCCAAGUUUGGAUCUGCCCAUGUGCAGGUCACGUGAUAAGAGCAUUUUGGGGCAUUCCCAUCGUGGCUCAGUGGUUAACGAAUCCGACUAGGAACAAUGGGGUUGUGAGUUUGAUCCCUGGCCUUGCUCAGUGGGUUGAGGAUCCGGCGUUGCCGUGACCUGUAGUAUGGGUUGCAGAUGCAGCUCAGAUCCCUCGUUGCUGUGGCUCUGGCGUAGGCCAGUGGCUAUAGCUCCAAUUGGACUCCUAGCCUGGGAACCUCCCUAUGCCGCGGGAGCAGCCCUAGAAAAAGCAAAAAGGAAAAAGAAAAAAAAAGCGUUUUGGAGGUGAAGCGAUGACAAAAGCCGGAUUGCAGCCAGCUGCAGAGAAAAGGGAGGCUAGGAGGGGACAAGACCCAAACGAUGUUACCGUCUUUCCAGGCUCAGCUCAAUGCUGCCGCCUCUAGGAAGCCUUCCGUAUGGCCCUCUUCCUCUCAAGGCUACUUCACCUCACAGUCUCGCUGGCUGCCCCCACCCUGUGAGCUGGGUGCCCCCUGAGAGUGGGGACUCUUUGUCACCCCAGCAUCCUAGCACCCAGUAGGCACUUUGGAAACCUUAGCUCUUCUCUCUCCCUCCUCCAAUCACAGAAGGAAAUUCUGAGACCUUCCCCAAAACUCUGUUCUCCCACUUAAUGAAUUAUUCCUCCCCAAACAAUUGUUUCUGUAUUGCUGUGCGAAGAUUAUUAGCAUAAUGAUGAGCCCUAAUAUUGCAUUAAUUUGGUUGUGAAUUAUUUGUAUUGUCACAGUCAUUAACUCAGCGAUUGCAAUUGUGCUUUAAUUUAAUCUAGCUCCUUCCGCAGUCUGUCAAAACCUCCAGAAAUAAUGUAACCCAGAACCUCGUUUCAGAACAGACUGAAUAUCAAAUUUAUGGAAUUUAUGGAAAUCUUCCUGCAGUGACCGCCCUCUGGAGUGAGGAAACCCAAAGACAGCAGGUGGACAGGUGAGUCCAGGGCAGAGCCGACGCUCUCUGCCUGUCACGCGAGGAGCUGGUUCUCAGGGUCCCUCAGCCCCUCCCAACCCCAAGGACCUCAAGGGCAAGAAUUGGGUGGGAUUCAUCUCUCUUCCCUCGCAGGGCUCAGACGAUACAGCACACAGCGUGGCGGUGCUCGAAAAGUGGUGGAACAGUAGCCCAGGAAGGAAGAAAUGACGCAGCCCCCAGCAGCUCUUCUUUCCGCCCCCAGCAGGGACAGGUAACGUGAGGCUCUCUCCAGCUCACGCCAUGAGCCCAGUCCCAGCCUAGGCUGCAAAGGCUGGAGAAAAGCUGGGGGGAAGCCUGGGCUGAAAAGAAUUCAUCUGGCUUCUCACCAUGGGGGUUCACAAUCUUUGUGCUUGAACCAAAUGUGACUUCUUGCUUGCUAUGUUGCUGGUGGCUGAAACUGGCUAGCUGUCCUCCAAGAACCUCCUAAGGCAGCCUUUAUUCCUCGGCUGACCCAGCUCAGAGACCUCACUGCUGUGCCAGAAGCAGAGCACAGAUCAGCUUGCAGGGAAGACUCACAUUAGCCAGGCUCAAGUGGCUGAUGUAUAAACCUGAAGCCACAUCUUUUAUUGACAAUGAACAACUGAGGUGUGACAAGGACUGGGCUACUUUCUCCCAGAGACGCAGUCUUCCCAGUCCUCUCUCUGGACAGGGUCACAGGGCCAGGUGAUCCCAGGGGACCUCGCCAGGCCCCUGUGCAGCUCUCAUCUCUUGCUCCCUGCAAUGGUGGAGGCUUCCUAGUCCUCCAAGCUGAAGCUCAGGCCCCACCUCCUAUCCCUGGGGCCAAGAUCACUGCCCUUUCACUUCUCUUCCAUUGCAGCCCCUCCCCCUGGGGCUGUGGGCUCGGAAGUCUGCUCCAGAAUCCAGAGUGCUCCCUCCCCUCCCACUUAGGGAAGGCUCUGGAACUGGUUACUGAAUGAAGGGAGGGGCGGGCCUCUCUACCUCCCUUCUCUCCUCCUGCAGGUGAGCACUUCCAGGCGGCAAAUUCACCAGGGGGGCGGGGCGUCCUCAGCCCUGCAGGGAUGAUUCGAAUGCCCCUCAUUCCAGAGGAAACUCGGCUGGACCGUGCCCCUCUCACCAUCAAGGACCACCCAGUGUGCCCCUUUCUUUGCCCAGAGCCUUCACCCAGCUUCCCAUAGGUCUCACAGGCCUGGCAGCUGUCCCCCCUCUAAGCGGACUGCACAUGUCUCUGCUACAAAAUAGACUGACUUGAAAUUGAGCUUCGAGAGCCGCUGUAUUUCCAAGGUCUAGGCGCUGGGGUGGCUCCCGGGAUCUCCCUACAGACCCAGGCGAUCCCCGGCCCUUUGGGAUGGAUUCUUUGGAGGCAGAUGAUCUGGUUUAGGAGACGACCUGUGUGACUUUGCACAAGUUGCACAGCCUCUCUGGGCCACAGGCCCCCUUCUCCUUAAAGCAGAACCAGUGAGAAUUGACGGCAUAAUGACACCUCCCAGGGGGCACAGGGGGGUCCCUUGCCCUGGCUCAGCAUCACUCCCCCAGCUGGGGGACUGACUCUGGGAACUCUGCAGGGUCCUGCAGGAGGUCCCACGGGCUGGAGGGACAGUAAAGAGAACAGGUGUCCCCCAGGGCGGGCCAAUGGCUCGAAGCUCCCUGCUCUGGGGCUGCUGCCAAUCAAAUGAAAAUCAGGGGUGUUGAGGCAGAAAGGAAACACCUCAGCCUGAAAUAGAAGAGGGCAGGGGGUCUGAAAAAGUGGAGGAAAUCUCUAGAACUGGGCUGCCGGUGUGGCGCAGGAGACCAGGCCUUCUGCCCAGCCCCUCACUCGACAGUAAGGAGUCCCAGGCGUGGCAGGAAGGACAAACAGAGCUCGGGGUAAGAAGGCCUGGGUCCACCCCACCCCUCUGAGCUGACUCACUGGCAGGAUGGAGCGGGGGGAAUCCUUCUGCCUGCAGAAUAAAGACACAGGGAGGAGAAAACUCUGCCCCGGAAGCCGGGUUGAAAUUUAACACACACAGAUGUGCCAAAUAUUUAGCUUAUUGAUUUCUCUGUAACUUAUCUUAUCUUCGCGAGACUCCACCCCAUUGGAGAAUUUAAACACGCCAACUAAAGAUACCCCACUGGCAUGAGCCUUGCAGCCUGAACACAGAAGAGGAACUGGCAUAGCCCAUGUUUCCUUCCAGAAACUGCCUCAGGAUUUCCCAUCAUGGCUCAGUGGUUAAGGAACCCGACUAGUAUCCAUAAGGACUUGAGUUCGAUCCCUGGCCUCGGUCAUUGGGUUAAGGAUCCGGCGUUGCCAUGGGCUGUGGUGUAGGUCGCAGACACAGCUUGGAUCUGGCCUUGCUGUGGUUAUGGUGUAGGCCGGCAGGUGUAGCUCUAAUUUGAGCCCUAGCCUGGGCACUUCCAUAUGCCACAGGUGUGACCCUGAAAAGACAAAAGACAAAGAAGAAAAGAAAAGAAACUACCUCAAAGAUAGCCAGGAGCAAAAGCCACGACCCCCACCUACAUCCUACACAAAAAAAUAACUAAAAAGUAAAUCUUGGGCCUAAAUAUAAAAGCUAAAGCUGGAGUUCCCCUGUGGUGCAGUGGGUUAAGGACCUGGCGUUGUCACUAUAGCAGCUCUGGUCACUGCUAUGGCGAGAGUUUGAUCCCUAGUGUGAGAACUCGCACAGGCCGUAGGUGCAGCCCCCCCAAUAAAAUCUAAAGCUGCUAAGCUUCUAGAAGAAAAUAUAGGAGAAAAUACUCAUGAUCUUGGGCGUUGGGAAGAAUUUCUUAAACAAGACACAAAAAACACAAAAAAGGCAGAAAGAAAGGAAGAAGUUCAACUUCACUCAAAUUAAAAACCUUCAAGGAGUUCCCGUUGUGGCUCAGCAGGUUAAGAACCUGAUUAGUAUCUGAGGAUGCGGUUCGAUCCCUGGCCUCACUCAGUGGGUUAAGGAUCUGGCGUUGCCGUGAGCAGUGGUGUAGGUUGCAGACGCGGCUCAGAUCCUGCAUGGCUGAGGCUGUGGCAUGGCAGCUGCAGCUUUGAUUCAACCCCUGUGUCUGCAACUUCCAUAUGCUGUGGUGCAGCCCUAAAAAUAAAACAAUUAAAAUUUUUUAAAAAAAACUUUGAUUUUCAAGACACUGAAGAAAAUGAAAAGGGAAGGCAGAGACUGGAGAAAAUAGUCACGAAUCAUAUUUCCAAAAAAGACUGAUGUCUAGAACAUAUAAAGGACACUUACAACUUAAUAAGAUGGAAUUUGAAAAGACAAUUAGCAAAGACACACAAGGUCAUGGGUCAUUAGAGAAAUGUAUAGUAAGACUCUAAGGGGGGAGUUCCCAUCGUGGCUCAGCGGUAAAGAACCUGAAUAGGAUCCAUGAGGACUUGGGUUCGAUCCCUGGCCUUGCUCAGUGGGUUAAGGAUCUGGCAUUGCCGUGAGCUGCAGUGUAGGUCACAGAUGCGGCUCAGAUCUGGCGUUGCUGUGGCUGUGGUGUAGACUAGUAGCUGCAGCUCUGGUUGGACCCCUAGCCUGGGAACACCCAGAUGCCGUGGGUGCGGCCCUAAAAAAAAGGGAAAGAAAACUAUGGGGGAUGCAUGUGACCCCCACUUAGGAGGCUAAAAUCCGGAAGACUGGCCAUUCGAGGAUGUGAGCAACCAAGAGCUCUCACAUGGCUUUCACGUGCUCGCAGGCAGGUAAAAGGGACAGUGCCUUUGGGGAAGAGUUUGGGCAGUUUCUUCAAAGUUACACGCAUACCUACCACAGCACCAGCCAGUCUGCAUGUGGGUUGUCUGCCCGAGAGGAAUGAAAGCUUACAUCCAGGAGUUCCCGUUGUGGCUCAGUGGGUUAAGAACCUGACAUAGUGUCCUCAAGGAUGAGGGUUCGAUUCCUGGCCUCGCCUGGUGGGUUAAGGAUCCAGCGUUGCUGUGAGCUGUGGUGUAGGUUGCAGAAGCGGCUUGGACCCCGCAUGGCUGUGGCCGUGGUGCAGGCCGGCAGCGGUAGCUCCAAUUCAGCCCUUAGCCUGGGAACCUCCAUAUGCCACAGGUGCGGUUCUAAAAAGCAAAAGAGAAAACGACAACAGUAACAACCACACCCAUGGCCUUAGCUGCCCUCCCUGAGCCUCCCCGUUCUCAGUAGAACUGCCUCUCCCGAUGAUGGGUGGGCAUCAGCAAUGACACCCAGAACUAUUAGCUCAGCAAAGGCACCUACAAGUGUGUGACAAGGGGGCUGUCGUCACCCUCUCCCUGGGGCCGCCUCUGAUUCCCGCAAGCAGAAUGGUCUCCAGGACCACCUGCCACAUCUGGAUUCCCAUGUGAGCCGGAGCGUGGAGAAGCUGGCUGUGUAGACAGGGCUGCCUUGCAUCCAGAGUUCCAGCCUCCGGGAGACUAUUCUCGUUCCAAUUCAGAAUGCCUGGCUCCGGGCGCAAUGGGCUUUGUCCCAAGGAUGUAAUUUCUAUUUUGAUUCCACUCGACACUUAAUGAAAUGACUUUCAGACACCACGCCGUGGGUCUGAGUUAUGAAACCACAUCUUCUGGAUCCUCGAGGCAGCACAGUAACCGGCCCCCUCUUGUUUCGGGAGUCGCCUGGCGUCUCCCUCCUGAGGCGGGGGUGCUGAGCCCAGGGUUUUGAGGUGCCGAGCAUCCCCUGGGGGCCCAGGCCACAGCGUGGAAGCUCCGCUCCCUCCACCCAGGGCCCGCGCCCCGCCGCUUCUGGCUGGACUGUGGCAGCAGCCUCCGGCAGCCUCCUGCCCACUGUCGCCCUCUCUCCCAUCCAGUGCUGUUCAUGCUGCGGAUCAAAAGCAUUCCCGGAGACAGGAAAUCAAUGGGGAGGGUGGCAAACAGCAUUUUCAGGAAAACAAAUGAGAGAGCAGGGACUGGAAGGUGCUGGAAAGCAUCCGGCGUGGGACAAGCGACGGCUGUUUCAGGACACACAGGCCGUGGUGGCCACCAGGCCCUGUGCAGGGAACGGAAGACCAAAAGAUGCCGCUCCCGCCCAGGACCUUUGAGCUUCCAGAAGGCACACCUGAUCGGGUCGCUCCCCAGCUAGACCUCAGCGGCUUUGGGGACAGAAUUCACAUCCCUCCGGGGUGGGGGGGCACAGAAAGCCCCUGGAAACCUGUCCCCUGUCCCUCUCAUCCCACCCCCACCCCUGCUAGAUGGCAGGGGGGUCCGGACCGCCCUGCCCCCUUGGCACUCAGUUUAUGGCCAGGACUCAAGGGCAGGACCCCGUAAGUGACGUGUGACGUCACAGGCCAUCUCCUAGGGGGGUCCACACCACCUGCUGACCCCUUCUCGGCUAAGCCGACUUCCUGGAUUCUACAGAAGCAAAGAUAUAUUUCUGGAAGCCUUCCAUCCAAAAGGAAGUAGAAGCCCCACAAUUGCUCUGUAGCUUGGCUAUUAAAAAUAGGAAUUGCACCCACACGCAGGAAGAAGAGUUUGUUGUGGACCACGGAAGGGCCAGAGUCACAAGGUCACCUGUGUGUUCGGGGAGAGGAAGCUGCUGGGCUCAUGAGCUGACUGUUGCGGAGGCAGGCAGCUGUCAGCAGCUGGAGCCACAGCCCCAAGGCCCAGAAACCCCCAGAACCACAGGGAUGCCACACGCUGCCCUGCCAACGGCUUCAUAAAACCCAGUUCCCGCCACAUCAUGUGAGCAUUUGGACAAGCACAGGUUCCAAAGAAAAUUGCAAAAGAAAUCAAUUGUGCAUUAACGAGCAGAGGGGAGACCUCGGCACCGACCUGGGAAGAACCCAAGAUCUCUGGCGCCAGCUGGCCAGCUGGCCCGGCCCUGAGCUUGGCGACACUUGUGGAAGGAAGCCCGCCUCCGUUCGGGUGUCUGGCUCUGAAGGCCUGAAGCUCCGGUCACAGGACAGUCUCCAGGAGGCCCUGUGAGCAAGCAGAGCCUCUGCAGCCACAGGUUAGAGGGGAGGGAGGGGGGGAGGAAGUGGCCACCCCCUCGGGGCGGUCAGGGCCUCCACAGCAUUAUCCACAGUCAUUAAUCCCCAGCCCUGUGACCCUCCUGCUCCUGUGUCAGAGACAGAGGCCUCCCCCAGACCAUUCCCUCCCUCACUCACUCAAUUAACACUGGAAAGAAUCCAGGAGCUCCUGCGGUGGCUCAGCAGGUUAAGAUUCUGACUAGUAUUCAUGAGGAUACAGGUUCGAUCCCUGGCCUGGCUCAAGGGGUUAAGGAUCCAGUGUUGCCGUGAGCUGUGGUGUAGGUCGCAGACGAGGCUCAGAUCUGGUGUUGCUGUGGCUGUGGUGCAGGCCGGCAGCUGUUGUUCCAAUUCAACCCCUAGCCUGGGAAUCUCCACAUGCCUCAGGUGUGGCCCUAAAAAGACAAACGAGCAAAAAAAAAAAAAAAUUUCCGGAGGAUACAGGUUUGAUCCCUGGCCUGGCUCAGGGGAUUAAGGAUCCGGCAUUGCCGGAAGCUGUGUGUAGGUCGCAGACGCUCGGAUCCCAGGUUGCCGUAGGCCGGCAGCUGGGGCUCCAGUUCCAACUCCUAGCCUGGGAACUUUCAUGUGCUGCAGGUUUGGCCCGAAGAAGAAAAAAAAAAAAAAGAAAAGAAAGAAA
rnacentral:lncRNA from 1 species